rnacentral:sRNA from 1 species
AAGGUGAAAGAAGAUGUAGAGCUCCCUUCAAUCCAAAG